UUAUGACCUGGGCUACACACGUGCUACAAUGGGCGGUACAAAGGGCUGCGAACCCGCGAGGGGGAGCGAAUCCCAAAAAGCCGCUCUCAGUUCGGAUUGCAGGCUGCAACUCGCCUGCAUGAAGCCGGAAUCGCUAGUAAUCGCGGAUCAGCAUGCCGCGGUGAAUACGUUCCCGGGCCUU
rnacentral:rRNA from 1 species